AGUAAGAUGGCUGACAUUCAAAGCGGAGGAUUGUAAAUCCUUAUAUGGUAAUACCUUUUACUA
rnacentral:tRNA from 1 species